rnacentral:lncRNA from 1 species
GGUCCUAUCAGGGUGACUCAAUAUGAAUCAAGUGUUACAAAUUUUGAAUAGAAUCGGACUGGAAUCAGAUCUACCGCACGAAUUUCGGAGCAAUCUCAAAUCAUCUUAUUUUUAAUUCAAAUAUAUCCUAAGAUUUGUGAUGCAAUCAGAGAGAGUAGAAAGAUUCUAGAGAGAUAAAAUUCACAAAAAGAGAGAAAGAUCUAGAGAGAGAAAAUAGAAAGAGAAUCUAGAGAGAGAAAUUGGAGAGAGAAGGUAGAGAGAGGAGAGAGAAAAGAGAGAGAAAGAAGAGAGAAAGGAGAGAGAGGAAAAUUCUCUCCUUCUUCUUCUUUUUAUUUUAUUUUAUUUUAUUUUUAUUUUUAUUUUUCUCUUUCUCUUUUUCUUUUUUUUUU